rnacentral:rRNA from 1 species
GACGAACGCUGGCGGCGUGCUUAACACAUGCAAGCCGAACGGAAAGGCCCUGCUUUUGUGGGGUGCUCGAGUGGCGAACGGGUGAGUAACACGUGAGUAACCUGCCCUUGACUUUGGGAUAACUUCAGGAAACUGGGGCUAAUACCGGAUAGGAGCUCCUGCUGCAUGGUGGGGGUUGGAAAGUUUCGGCGGUUGGGGAUGGACUCGCGGCUUAUCAGCUUGUUGGUGGGGUAGUGGCUUACCAAGGCUUUGACGGGUAGCCGGCCUGAGAGGGUGACCGGCCACAUUGGGACUGAGAUACGGCCCAGACUCCUACGGGAGGCAGCUGUGGGGAAUAUUGCACAAUGGGCGGAAGCCUGAUGCAGCAACGCCGCGUGCGGGAUGACGGCCUUCGGGUUGUAAACCGCUUUCGCCUGUGACGAAGCGUGAGUGACGGUAAUGGGUAAAGAAGCACCGGCUAACUACGUG